GAGCGGUGGUAGCUCAGUCGGGUAAGCGCCCGCUUCUCACGCCAGAGAUGCGGGUUCGAAUCCCGAUGAGUUCU
rnacentral:tRNA from 1 species